rnacentral:miRNA from 1 species
GAUAUUAGACGUCAUAAACACGAUCAACUUUGGUGUUUAUCACGUCGUUAUUCGACGUCAUAAACACGAUCUACUUUGGUGUUUAUGACGUCGAUAUUCGACGUCAUAAAGACGAUAAACUUUGGUGUUUAUGACGUCGUUAUUCGACGUCAUAUAUACGAUCAACUUUGGUGUUUAUGACGUCGAUUUUCGACGUGAUAAACACGAUCAGCUUUGGUGUUUAUGACGCCGAUAUUC